CUGGCAAGGUCCAACCCCCCAGCGCGUGGCCGCUGUGAGUCUGUCACAGGGAUCAACUGCUAAGAUGGCGUGAUUUCCUCUGCAAGUAACAGCAGAGUCAAGAAUGUUACCCUCAUUCCUGGUCGUGCUGACACAUGCGUGUGGGUGGAAGUCCAGGGUCAAUGGCGCCCAGUCCCGCUGUGCCCAAGGACGGCGGCUAUUCUCGGCCUCGGUUGUUGUGCUGGUUAAAUUCUGAGAGUUCCAGAAAAAGAAGGCGGGGACAUUGUUACAGGCUGAGUUGUGUCCCCCUCAACACCCAUCUGUUGAAGUCCUACCCCUUCCAGGACCACAGGAUGUGACCGUGUUUGAACAGAGGGCCUUUAAAGAGAUAAUUAAGACCCCUGGACGCUGAGCUGACUGAUACAAAUAUGUGCCCUAAGCAUCCGAGAUGCCACUGGGGACACAUGUGUUGGGGCCACACGUUGCUCCUUUGUGAUCUGCUGAAUUCGUGUCCUCCAGUGACACACCUCGAGCAGUGCGUUUGCCAGCCCUGCCACCUCAGAGCGGGGGUCACCCAUGCUCUAACCAGAAGCCCGAGGUG